rnacentral:rRNA from 1 species
CCUACGGGUGGCUGCAGUGAGGAAUAUUGGUCAAUGGAGGCAAUUCUGAACCAGCCAAGCAGCGUGCAGGAAGACGGCCCUAUGGGUUGUAAACCGCUUUUAUCGGGGGACAAACCCCGGCACGUGUCCCGUAUUGCAGGUACCGGAUGAAUAAGCACCGGCUAAAUCCGUGCCAGCAGCCGCGGUAAUACGGAAGGUCCGGGCGUUAUCCGGAUUUAUUGGGUUUAAAGGGUGGGUAGGCCGUCCCUUAAGCGCGCGGUGAAAUUCCGGGGCCCCAACCCGGCUGAGCGGUGCGAACUGGGAGACUUGAGUUGGCGAGAAGUACGCGGAAUGCGUGGUGUAGCGGUGAAAUGCAUAGAUAUCGCGCAGAACUCCGAUUGCGAAGGCAGCGUACCGUCGCCUGACUGACGCUGAGGCACGAAAGUGCGGGGAUCGAACAGGAUUAGAUACCCGAGUAGAC